rnacentral:rRNA from 1 species
UACGUAGGGGGCAAGCGUUGUCCGGAAUCAUUGGGCGUAAAGCGCGCGUAGGCGGCCAGAUAAGUCCGGUGUGAAAGUCACAGGCUCAACCUGUGAAUGCCGCUGGAAACUGUCUGGCUUGAGUCCGGAAGGGGCGAGUGGAAUUCCUGGUGUAGCGGUGAAAUGCGCAGAUAUCAGGAAGAACACCCGUGGCGAAGGCGGGUCUCUGGGCAGUAACUGACGCUGAGGAGCGAAAGCGUGGGGAGCGAACAGG